UUGCCGUGCUUUCUGGUUUCACUCCGUCACUAAAACUGCUCCGUCAGCAUGGAUCCUGGAGUGCUGGGAAUGGAGCACCAAACCAGCUUGAGACAAACCUGAACAGUAGAGCAGAAGAUCCCUCAGCACACUGACUGGUGACAUCCCUGCAACGUCAUUGUCCCUGAGGUUCUCCAAGAACAUCACCUCCCCCAUCUCAGCUGUAACAAAAAUAAUGUCUUCAAAAGGUUGACAGCCCACAGAAAAUUGAAGUCUAUCUGCUGCACAGCACAAAAACUGGCAGAAGAAUAAUUCACAAGCUGGUGAGAUGCUUCAGUGGGCAAAGUUUUCUGCAGGGAAUCAUGACCAAGCCUAACAGCAAUUUGAAGUCUCCAGAAAGAUGAUGGGUCCCCACAAUGACGAUUCCACAUGGACAAUAAUAAUACCAAUAAACUGAAAAACAUCACUCAAAGAUCAUCUUUGGACUACAAACUGCUCAGAAUAAUUUUGAGAUGGCUAGCUGAGAUGAUCCAGCUUCACAGACUACUUAA